GCUAGCGUAGCUUAAUAAAGCAUAACUCUGAAGAUGUUAAGAUAAACCUUAGACUGGUUUCGCAAGCAC
rnacentral:tRNA from 1 species